AGUGAACGCUGGCGGUAGGCCUAAUACAUGCAAGUCGAACGGCAGCACAGUAAGAUUUUGCCUCUACGGGUGGCGAGUGGCGGACGGGUGAGGAAUACAUCGGAAUCCUCUUUUUCGUGGGGGACAACGUAGGGAAACUUAUGCUAAUACCGCAUAUGUCCUACGGGUGAAAGCAGUGGAUCUUCGGACCUUGCGCGACUGAAUGAGCCGAUGUCGGAUUAGCUAGUUGGCGGGGUAAAGGCCCACCAAGGCGACGAUCCGUAGCUGAUCUGAGAGGAUGAUCAGCCACACUGGAACUGAGACACGGUCCAGACUCCUACGGGAGGCAGCAGUAGGGAAUAUUGGGCAAUGGGCGCAAGCCUGAUCCAGCAAUGCCGCGUGAGUGAAGAAGGCCUUCGGAUUGUAAAGCCCUUUUAUUGGGGAAGAAAAACAGCGGAUUAAUACCCCGCUGUUCUGACGGUACCCAAAGAAUAAGCACCGGCUAACUUCGUG
rnacentral:rRNA from 1 species